GAUGAACGCUGGCGGCGUGCCUAAUACAUGCAAGUCGAGCGAACAGACGAGGAGCUUGCUCCUCUGACGUUAGCGGCGGACGGGUGAGUAACACGUGGAUAACCUACCUAUAAGACUGGGAUAACUUCGGGAAACCGGAGCUAAUACCGGAUAAUAUAUUGAACCGCAUGGUUCAAUAGUGAAAUACGGUUUUUCUGUCACUUAUAGAUGGAUCCGCGCCGCAUUAGCUUGUUGGUAAGGUAACGGCUUACCAAGGCAACGAUGCGUACCCGACCUGAGAGGGUGAUCGGCCACACUGGAACUGAGACACGGUCCAGACUCCUACGGGAGGCAGCAGUAGGGAAUCUUCCGCAAUGGGCGAAAGCCUGACGGAGCAACGCCGCGUGAGUGAUGAAGGUCUUCGGAUCGUAAAACUCUGUUAUUAGGGAAGAACAAAUGUGUAAGUAACUAUGCACGUCUUGACGGUACCUAAUCAGAAAGCCACGGCUAACUACGUG
rnacentral:rRNA from 1 species